AAGAAGGUGUUCGAAUGGAAAGCUCUGUGCCUAUGGGGAAGAAGAAAGACGGUACCAUAGAAGAAAGCCCCGGCUAACUACGUGCCAGCAGCCGCGGUAAUACGUAGGGGGCGAACGUUAUCCGGAAUGAUUGGGCGUAAAGGGUACGUAGGCGGACCUGUAAGUCAGGUGUGAAAGGCAUGGGCUCAACCCAUGUAAGCACUUGAAACUGCGGGCCUUGAGGGAAGGAGAGGUAAGUGGAAUUCCUAGUGUAGCGGUGAAAUGCGUAGAUAUUAGGAGGAAUACCGGUGGCGAAGGCGACUUACUGGACUUUUACUGACGCUGAGGUACGAAAGCGUGGGGAGCAAACAGGAUUAGAUACCCUGGUAGUCCACGCCGUAAAUGGUGAGUGCUAGGUGUCGGGGAGUCAAAUCUCGGUGCCGACGUUAACACAUUAAAGCACUCCGCCUGGGGAGUACGCACGCAAGUGUGAAACUCAAAGGAAUUGACGGGGGACCCGCACAAGCAGCGGAGCAUGUGGUUUAAUU
rnacentral:rRNA from 1 species